rnacentral:misc_RNA from 1 species
AAAGUCGUAACAAGGUUUCCGUAGGUGAACCUGCGGAAGGAUCAUUAACACAUCCGUUUCCAUUUAUCAACAUUGGCGAACUGUGCAACCUUUCAGAGAGAAGGCCGGAUAGGCAAUGGUUUGAGUCGCUUCGGCGACUGGCCUCCCGGCUACGCGUCCAUGGAAUCCUAGCGAUUUCAUGAGGCCACCCUUCGACUCUGCUCGGUAUACAGCCUCUGACCUGGCUGGCCCAUUUUUCUUUUUUACUUUUAAUGAAUUUCUGUGCUCUUUGUCGAGGGACUGGAUCGAGGGGAGCAAUCCCUUCUCUGGAAUCUUGAAUGACAGUUCUAUUCAAUAGAACUUGUUGUAAACAAAAACACAACUCUUAACAGCGGAUAUCUCGGUUCUC